rnacentral:rRNA from 1 species
UACGUAGGGGGCAAGCGUUAUCCGGAUUUACUGGGUGUAAAGGGGGCGCAGACGGCGAUGCAAGCCAGGAGUGAAAGCCCGGGGCCCACCCCCGGGACUGCUCUUGGAACUGCGUGGCUGGAGUGCAGGAGGGGCAGGCGGAAUUCCUGGUGUAGCGGUGAAAUGCGUAGAUAUCAGGAGGAACACCGGUGGCGAAGGCGGCCUGCUGGACUGCAACUGACGUUGAGGCCCGAAAGCGUGGGGAGCAAACAGG